UCUCCAUAGCGUAAAAAUUAACUCAAAUUUGUAUGAAGUUGAGACGUUUGCCUACGUUUGCCGCUAGGGGCGGUGUUCCAAAUCCAUACAAAUUUGAGUUAACUUUUACGCUAUCGA
rnacentral:pre_miRNA from 9 species